rnacentral:rRNA from 1 species
UGGGGAAUAUUGGACAAUGGGCGCAAGCCUGAUCCAGCCAUGCCGCGUGAGUGAUGAAGGCCCUAGGGUUGUAAAGCUCUUUCACCGGUGAAGAUAAUGUCGGUAACCGGAGAAGAAGCCCCGGCUAACUUCGUGCCAGCAGCCGCGGUAAUACGAAGGGGGCUAGCGUUGUUCGGAUUUACUGGGCGUAAAGCGCACGUAGGCGGACUUUUAAGUCAGGGGUGAAAUCCCGGGGCUCAACCCCGGAACUGCCUUUGAUACUGGAAGUCUUGAGUAUGGUAGAGGUGAGUGGAAUUCCGAGUGUAGAGGUGAAAUUCGUAGAUAUUCGGAGGAACACCAGUGGCGAAGGCGGCUCACUGGACCAUUACUGACGCUGAGGUGCGAAAGCGUGGGGAGCAAACAGG